ensembl:snoRNA
GUGGCCCUGACUGAAGACCAGCAGUUCUGUAGCUGUUGGUUUCAAACAGAGGCCUAAAGGACUGUCUUCCUGUGGUCUGUUGGCUGUUCUGGAAUCUCAGCAGAGAAUGGCUGUUUCAUGUGGAAGAAACAACC